CCUACGGGUGGCAGCAGUGAGGAAUAUUGGUCAAUGGACGAGAGCCUGAACCAGCCAAGUAGCGUGAAGGAUGACGGCCCUAUGGGUUGUAAACUUCUUUUAUAUGGGAAUAAAAUGUUCCACGUGCGGGAUCUUGUAUGUACCCUAUGAAUAAGGAACGGCUAACUCCGUGCCAGCAGACGCGGUAAUACGGAGGGUCCGAGCGGUAUCCGGAUUGUUUGGGUUUAAAGGGAGCGUAGGUGGAGUUUUAAGUCAGUUGUGAAGGUUUGCGGCUCAACCGUAAAUUUGCAGUUGAAACUGGCAGUCUUGAGUACAGUAGAGGUAGGCGGAAUUCGUGGUGUAGCGGUGAAAUGCGUAGAUAUCACGAAGAACUCCGAUUGCGAAGGCAGCUCACUGGACUGCAACUGACACUGAGGCACGAAAGUGUGGGUAUCAAACAGGAUUAGAUACCCCUGUAGUC
rnacentral:rRNA from 1 species